rnacentral:piRNA from 1 species
AAUCUUCAUGGAGCUUGGAAGC